ACGUCCCACUUUGUUGUUAGUCUUUUUGGCAAAAUGAAGACGAAUGUGUACACUGUGAUAUCUGAUAUCCUCAGGAUGAAAACUUGUUUAUUCCACCUUUAUACACUAGCGCGUGGUGAAUAUAAUACGCCAUAAAGAUUUGUAAUUUAUCCUCUUUGAUAAAACUGGCAAGAAGUUCGCACUGAAUGACCAAAUUAUAUUUUUAAAGGAAGGACAUCAACAGCCUCGUUAAAUCUAUUAAUGAAUCUGUUUGGUUAGUAUAGUGUUGUUGUUGCGUCCACUAGUUCAACAAGUGUCCUUCAUGAUAACCGAAGUAAAUUUAUUUUGUUUUAUCCGCGUGUAUUAUUUUGUAUGCAGGCGGUGUGUGUGUGUGUGACCAUUCUCGUUUUGAAGUGAUCAUCUCGAUCUUGGAUUUAUUUUGGUCACCUGCAUAAUUUUGUUAUUGUUCGUGACCGGCCAAUGUGGGUGUUUCUCCGUCGUAAAAUGUCUGCUGUUGACUACAACGAAAGUUUAGGAGAGUAUUUUAAAAGAGAAAAGGCAAGUGGUGUAGUUUAACCAUAAGGACGAUUUACCAACUUUAUUCUUUUAAAAACAUAACGCAACAAGAUGAAAUUGUUUCAUACAUUCAGAGAAUGAGAAAUGUCCUCCUGUAACAGCCAACCGUUAAAAUGGGUGUAAUGGAGACUGGUGUCUUGUAGGACAACACCCAUUCCCAUGCUUGGGAUUUCCAACCAUAUUUUAUCUCCUGACUGCACGUGCAGGGUGGAUUGAAGGGAAUACAUUUCCCAUUCAACUUUACCGGUAAAAUCGUUACAUUCCGCUCUUCCGACUUCAUUUCCAUUCAACAACAAGGCCACAUCGAGAUGGCCGCCCGAUGAAGGAAUAACUCCGAUUCCGGUGAAAGAAAAGAAAUAGAUUCCGGUGCGCGGAACUGUGAAAGUUCCUGACGUUGAAUUCAUGGCGUCUCCCAUGUUCAAUUUUUCUAUCUCGAAUGGAAUCGGAGUGCUUAACAAAUUGAAGGACUUGCUUUUCUGAACGUAGAAAUAGGUAGGCAAUGAUUUCACGUCAUCGUAGCCAAUCCAUUUCUGGAAACCUAAUCAUAACAAAUAAACGAGUUAGAUGAAAGGCAUUUGACAAUUUCAAAUAUUUACCAGCAUCGUUAGGCAGCCUCGUGAAAUCGCAGUAAACACUUUCGAUCAUUUCAGUUCCCAUAACCGAAUAUAAUCCGCUCAAAGUGUGACCCAUUCGCCAGAGAUCUUGACAUGAAGUUGGCAUUCCGGCCACCUCUCCUUUACCAGUACAUUCAAAUCUUCCUAGCGUAUGCUGACCGGAAGAAGUUUCCAGUAUUGUUCUUCCAAAGUUCAGGCGUGUGAUAGGAAGUACACUCUUUUCGAAAUCAGCGUCCUGCUUACUUACCACUGUCGACUAGCGAUAUUUGCAGACCGGAAUCGCAGUUACAAGGAAUAAAAGAUUCGACGCAAGUAUGCUCGAUUCCGCACUGACAGGUGUGUGCACUAGCGUUGCUUCCCGACCAGAAAUAUUGCGGAUUCCCAUUUCUGUCGUUCCACCAGGAAUAGUCCAUCCCGUUGAUUGUAAGCGGCGCUGCAACGCAAUCGUACUACAUUGAUCCGUGUAAACAAAAAGUUUUAGUUAUUCUAAUCAAAGCAUUUAUGAUCACAUACUCUGAUAGACUGGUGACAUUCAGUGGACAACUCUGCCAACGCUGUCAUUUGUCUGAAAGUUGCAUUGUAGUUGAUAGCCUUUGAAUAACAUCCAGGAUCGGCGCAGUGUCCCACGUCCGUUUUCAGUUCGCUAUCGUGUAAAAUCGAUGUCGAACCUUUUUAGAAAAGGAUCGUCACCAAUGCCUUGGCCAUCUGGAUCGAUCCAUUGCAUGCCAGAACUCAAGGACGGAUUGGCUGAUCUAGACUCAUCACACGUUCUGAAAAUGGCACUUUUUCCGGCCAAUUGACUCUCAGGAUGAGGACGAUUCGAUAAAGAAGAUUUUAAAUUUGUUUGUUUUUCAUUCCCGAAUGAAUUGAUGAACGAUUCUUGAUUCUUCACUAUGGCCUCUAGUCGAGUUACUUUGGUCUCCAGUUGGGUAACUUUUGCCUCCCAUUUAGUUUCUCUUUCUGCCAAAAUUUCUUUGAUUUGCAUCUUUAAAAAAUUUAACAUAAUUUUAUUUAUGCUAGACUUGCGAGUGUAAUUAAAAUGUAUUACGUAGUUUUCUCUUAUUUGCUGUUGUUGGUCUUCAACUGAAAGGCUGGCACAGUUGGUUGCAAAAGAUAAAACCCAAACACCGAAAUGAAUUAACAUGAGAAAGCGAGUCAUGUUAGCCAAUAAUAUGGUUCUAGCCGGACUAGUACUAUUUUACAUCAAAUGCAUCGCAAUUUAUGAAGCCUCUCACAAGCCUUAUACGAUAAGACAUACUCAUUGUUGUUGCCCUUCCCUACGGAAUCCGAAAUACUCGUUAUCUCAGUAUCCGAUAUCUGAAUGUAGUAUGGCAUUUAAAAGCUGAUUGACAAAAUGCAAUGCAUCAGCAAUGUCAUCACAAUAGUCAUGCGCAGUCAGGCUUAAUUCUACCAUAAGAUAUACUUGGUUUUGUUAUAGAAGGCUAAGUAUUUAUUCAAGAUCACGUGGAACCAUGAGAUAAAGUGGGAUGUUCGUAUAUCAAAAUUCCUAUUUUAACAAGUGUACAUCAGGACAAAACGAUUAACUAAAAAUAUAAAUUGUUAAAAAUGUUCCUUAUAAGUAUAGCCCCGUAGCACAUUUACAAACCAUUAAAUUUGUGGAGACGAUGUGAAGUUGUCCGGACAGCGGAUCGAGACUCUCCCGAGGCUGAACUAGUUAAAACAUUUUUUUUAAAGCUAACCCGUUCAGUUAAUUGAAUUUCUAAAAAUUUCCAUCUAGUUUAAUGGGUGUGAUUUUUCACACGGAUUUACAAUUUUGGUUUGCCGUCUGAAUUACGCUAAAUUGUUACUCUUUAAAAGUCGACCCUCUACCAGAUUUCAUUUCUUAAAAUAACCACUAUUGUAUAUCAAAAUUAUUAUCAAAAUUCAUAUUUUUACAAGUGUACAUCAGGACAAAACGAUUAACUAAAAAUAUAAAUUGUUAAAAAUGUUCCUUAUAAGUAUAGCCCCGUAGCACAUUUACAAACCAUUAAAUUUGUGGAGACGAUGUGAAGUUGUCCGGAAAGCGGAUCGAGACUCUCCCGAGGCUGAACUAGUUAAAACAUUUUUUUUAAAGCUAACCCGUUCAGUUAAUUGAAUUUCUAAAAAUUUCCAUCUAGAUUAAUGGGUGUGAUUUUUCACACGGAUUUACAAUUUUGGUUUGCCGUCUGAAUUACGCUAAAUUGUUACUCUUUAAAAGUCGACCCUCUACCAGAUUUCAUUUCUUAAAAUAACCACUAUUGUAUAUCAAAAUUAUUAUCAAAAUUCAUAUUUUUACAAGUGUACAUCAGGACAAAACGAUUAACUAAAAAUAUAAAUUGUUAAAAAUGUUCCUUAUAAGUAUAGCCCCGUAGCACAUUUACAAACCAUUAAAUUUGUGGAGACGAUGUGAAGUUGUCCGGACAGCGGAUCGAGACUCUCCCGAGGCUGAACUAGAUAUAACAUUUUU